CCAAAUAUCUAAACGGAGAAAUUCAAUACUACCCUUAACAAGUAGUGUGCACUUUUCUCUUAGUAAGACGCCGUGAUCCAUUAGAAAUUGGUACAUGCCAAAUGUACAGUGGGUCAUCAAUAGGCCGGCACGAAGUUUAUUGGAACAAAUGGCGUGAUCUUUAACGGUCGCGUGUAUUGUCUGGUAAGCGUGUCGAUACCUGCAAUGACUGUCUGAUGGAUUUUAAGGAUCAUAUCAACGGUGUUACGGCACCGGACGCGCUUGCGUAUCUCGAUAUGUGUCUGAUCAACGGCGGUUAAAUUUGGGAUACCUUCUGGACCCGUCUUGAAACACGGACCAAGGAGUCUAUCUAGUAUGCGAGUAAAUGGAUAGUUAAUGAAAUCUAUUUGCGUAAUAAACGUGACUGUUUUGUGGGAUUACAACUUGAGUGCUCUCGCGAGCCUCUUGUUUUCCAUCCCGGGGUAUUUUUGUCAACAUAUAAGCAAUUAUAUGGAAAAUAUACCAUGAGCACACUGGAUACGACCCGAAAGAUGGUGAACUAUGCCUGAUCAGGUCGAAGUCAGGGGAAACCCUGAUGGAGGACCGAAGCAGUUCUGACGUGCAAAUCGAUUGUCAGAAUUGGGCAUAGGGGCGAAAGACCAAUCGAACCAUC
rnacentral:rRNA from 1 species